AAACAAGGUCCAUCGUCAAGGUAGAAUGGCAGAACUCCAGAGCAGCCCUCCUCUGCUGGGUGUAGGUCCUUACUUGCAUCAGGAAGGGACCCACCUUUUCCGACCACAGGUGCUCAGUGAAAGACCUCAUCAACCAAGAACUUGACUACGGAAGCCUCUCAUGGUGAAUUCUAGCUGAUUUUAGAUCUGAGCCUGCAAUUUUCAAAUUAAGUCAAUAGGUUCUGUGGGUGUAUUCCAGUUAAAAUAGCAACACCGGCUAAUAUUACCAACCUGCAGCUGCAAGCAUCACCUGUAUUUGGAUUGGGGAAGAAAGGACAACCAAGAAGGGAACAGGAAGUGCCUAGAACAUAAAGUGAGGUGAGCCCACACGUGGGAAUGGACUGAGGACCCUGCUUGCUGAGUGGAAAAGCAUUAAAGAAUCAGGAGGUCCCUCAGCCAGGACAGGACAUCGCCAGAAGGUUGACAAAUUAGAUACUGGCAAAUUCAUCUCAAGUGUUCUACAAAAGAAGCCAAGUGCCUACAAAUUUACGCUGGUGUCUUGGUUUAAUUCUCCAAGUGCCUCAUCAAGACAUCUCAAGGACUGUGUGUGCAUCAGGGUGUUUGUCACAUACCAUCUAAGCACUAACUGUUUUGCUUCAAAUCAGCUGUAACACUUUCUGGUUAGCCUGGACAAGCUGCCCCCAAUGCAAAGGAUAGUCCACAGGCAACAAAAAAUUGUCCCAAGACCCAAGGAACUCCAAAUAUUU
rnacentral:lncRNA from 1 species